GAUGAAGAACGCAGCGAAAUGCGAUACGUAAUGUGAAUUGCAAAUUCAGUGAAUCAUCGAGUCUUUGAACGCACAUUGCGCCCCCUGGUAUUCCGGGGGGCAUGCCUGUCCGAGCGUCAUUGCUGCCCUCAAGCACGGCUUGUGUGUUGGGCCCCGUCCUCCGAUCCCGGGGGACGGGCCCGAAAGGCAGCGGCGGCACCGCGUCCGGUCCUCGAGCGUAUGGGGCUUUGUCACCCGCUCUGUAGGCCCGGCCGGCGCUUGCCGAUCAACCCAAAUUUUUAUCCAGGUUGACCUCGGAUCAGACAGGAUUACCCGCUGAACUUAAGCAUAUCAAUAAGCGGAGGA
rnacentral:misc_RNA from 1 species